UGUCUUUUAUGGUGGGGGUGGAGGGUGAGACGUGUUUUCUGCUUGUGGCUCCACUGCUGGGCCUGCUGCUGGCCCCUCCCACAGAGUGCUCCCAGGUUGUACAAGAAAGGUCCUUUGCUCCGCCUUCCUCCCUCUGAGACCCGGGUGACCUGGGUGACGGGCAGCCACUCUCUGCUCCAGCCGACAGCCUUCACAGCUCACUAGGUGGCACCUCUGUAGAGGUGGGUCUGCAGAAGCAGAUCUGGUUUAGAGAGGGGCCUGUCUGGGGCAGCGAGACUCACCAGUGGAUAGGUCAGACCUCACCGAGGAGCCCAGCUGAAGGAUUCUCCCGAUGCAGCACAGGCUUCCAGCCUGGAGAGAUGGCUCUCCUUCCUCCCCAACAUCCCCUGCGGUGGCUCCUGCGUCCACAGCGCCCCCUGGCAGCUGUGCCUCACCUCACUGGAGCGGCAUCGGAAAUGCUGGGUGCUGCUUAGUGUUGAGUUAAUUGGGCUUUCUGCUCUGGCCCUGUGUGGUUUCCUGAGUUCAUGAAUUAGUCAUGAAGUCCUGUUUACCAGGCAAGCACACUGGCCGUCCUGGUCUGUCCAGCUGGCCUCCUUUCGGAAGGAUGCCCUCGGUGCAGGCUUUGAUUAAUAAGUGAUGGUGGGGAAUCGGAGGCUCUUGGGAGACUCUGACCACAGCCUGUGCUUCACUUCCUGCUCUCACCUGUGCAGGUGCCACCACUUCAGAGUUCGAGGCCAGCACAGGAUGGCCUUGCCCGAUUCACUGAGCUGGGUUAGCUUCCGCCUCAAAGCUCGGGCUGCCUGGUCUUUCCCGCUGAUCUGGCCCAUCACUGGAGCACACAGAAAGGCCUGGCAUGCACUGGAAAGCCCUCUUGGUAAUGAAACCUAAUAUCGGUCGAGGAAGCCUCUGCAACCUAGGGGUGGACCAGCUGUUUCUGAACCCCAUGCGAGCCCUGUUCUCGGCUGUCACCUUCAGAUCACCAGCAGAUAGUGUCGUUCUGCAUGGUUUUCUUCCAUGGAAUAAAAAGUAGAUGUCACUCCUGGUUGAA